rnacentral:lncRNA from 1 species
AUGUGUUUGUUCCCAUACAGAUUGCAUUUUUCCUUUUUAAAGAUAAGUGGAUUUGAUGCAUUUAGUUUUGCUGGUAUGUUGUGUGAUAAUUUAACUGAUCUCUUACUGUCUUUUCAGGCUGAAACUAUGAAAAUCAAUGCAUCAAACAUGUUUCUCCAAGGCCAAAUAAAAGAAGUUGAAGGACAUAUCACAGGAAUUUUAGGUAAACUGAGUAUCACUCAGGAAAAUCAAAGGAUACUGAAAAUGUACAUUACUCUGGGAUAUAUUAUUUGGACUUAG